UUAAAUAAUAUCAACCGCAAAGCGAAAGCAAACGUGAAACUUGGGCAAAACGUAACCGCCCUCUCCUCAGUAAAUGAAAAUCUCGCGGCAGGAAGUAAGCCUUGUCUGUCCACGUGAUUGUACUAUUUUUCCGCAAAUCUAGAGCCCAAUAAGCACACCGGUUUGUAACGUGAUUUUAUACUUCUCAAAUAUCCAGAUUUUUAGCUCAUAUUUGUGGUCUGUUCCCCGUAGAAUAUGUGGUUUUCUAGGAAAUCGUUGAAGACUAUAGUAACUAAGUACUAGCAGGCGUCAAUCUCAUGGCCGGCCUUAGACAGACGCGAACUAAGCAACCGCCUAGGACGCCCUACAGGCCAGCCUCAUACAGGGUGCAAAUUAAAAAAAAUACUUCUCCACACUUUUCAAUUGACUGUAGCAUUGCGCCCUCCCCCACUUUCGUAAUCCAAAGCACGACGAUUCCACAGUACAUAGAACACCCCCCUACUGUAUUCUUCAACUCCCUCCCCCUGCAUUUACUGCUCCAAUUGACAGUAUAUAAUUCGGAUCACACCCGCCUCUUAUUCCUUUCUUCACUGACGAGAUUGAGGCGGGUGCAUCUAUUGGCUGUCAUCGUUGCUUCCUCUUCCUGAAUCUGAUCUCUGGACUGGAUGGUGUGAAUCAUCGGCAACCUGGUUUCCUUCAGCACGCGGGCUACAAACUCCGAUUUUCUUUAUGCAGUCGUGCUCCUUGUUUGCUUCACUUGCUUGCUUCAUUGCUUCUGGUAAAGGUGCAGCCAGAUAAAACAAACCAGGAUGCAAUGCACAGCUGACCAAGAUGGUAUUGAAGCCUGCAUUUACUGGAAGCACAGUAUCUCUCACAGGAAUUCCAAAAAGUGAAUAUCCAGACUUGACCACACAAAAUGGUAAUCAGAAGGUCACAAAUGAAUAUUUGUUCACAAUAAAUGUUUUAUACCAGAGCAAGACUCCUCCAUGACCCUAUUUGGUGGUUUGUGCGCUCCAUAACUCCCAGCUACUUAUUACAGCAGAGGGACAGCAGAAUGGACCAAGAAGUGUGCUGGACCCAGAUGUCAAUGGACUGAAGCCAUCCUCUGUUAUACAAAGGGGAGGAAACUUUACCUAUGUCUGUGGCACAAGAUGUAAUUGCAGUGAGUUUGGAGAAAGAGCACAGGGUGCUUGCAUGGUUCCACAGAGGGAGAGGACCCUGUUUCAGUGAAAGAAAAGGAGAUCAGUGGAUUACAACUAGUCUAAAGACAAGGCAGAACAAGGAAAUAGAUGUAACUACUUUGCCUCUGCACCUUGUACUGGUCAAAUCAAUUUAUAGACCUUUCAGAACACCAGAUGGUUCAUUAUAUCCAGUCAUUAAAACAACAGAAUACUCAUGAAAUCAGAAAUACUUCACGAAAGUACUGCAAUUUAUUUUACAGCCGAAAUGGGCAAUGCACUGCCAUCACUAAAGUGCUAAGUGUCUUAACAUUUUAUUUAGAACAUGCUUGAAUGCAGUUUUGCAAGAGGAAAUACUAAGGGUGCUUACAGUAAAACAGCAAAAUUAUGCUCAAAAGGCCUCCUGCAAGAAAAGGAUAUUGUACACUGAUGUCUAUCUAAAGUUAGACAUCUUUCAUUUAAUUGUGUUUGAUUUUGAAUAAGUGAUUUGAUAAAGUAAAACAAGUGUUGAAGUGUCACAAUAGCUGUGCUUUUACUUGGAAAUACAUUAACAAGAAAAUAAACUGAACCAAAUUACUGUUUCCCAGCUAUGAGACUGAAUGCAUGAAGCCCAUUACAAGGACAGUCUAUUUGAAAAUGAUGCACUUGUUGAUUCAGACAGUGGUACAUCCUACUACUGUGGAUGACAACUCUACUUACCCUGUAACCUCCACAAGACAAACAUUUUUUUCACAUGCAGUUGGUUUGCUUUUAUACGCUACCUCUAUCAAAGUGAUGCCUUACCUGUUUUUUUGUUACUGCUCUUACACACAUAUUUAGCGAAUGGCCAGAAAUAUAAAGCCCAGUGAUAAAACAGAGAGCAGAAACAUUGCAUAAUGAUCAUCUGUCCUUGUUUCAAAAGUUUAAUAAAUGCUGGUCUAAUUUUAAGUUCUCUAGAUUCACUUUAGACAAAUAAACAAAGAUAAAAUAAAAAACGAAAAUAAAAAUAAAACACCAGCAGGAAUUUAAACCAAAGAAAACGUGUUUUUAAGCAAAAAAAAAAAACAGUGAGCACUUAUAUUCUACAAUACACACAUUCUUCAGACACUAUUUAUUUGAAUUUUUCACACCAGGCAUGACUUGUGUGUUUCUCUUUAGACAAAGUCUGAUACAGAUGACUAUGAAAUGAGCAAAUGAAAAUAGUGUAUAAAUGUAGGACAACUUCACUACUGGUUUAUGGUAGUGAUGUGUGCAAAGCUCUGGAAAUGAAUAAGGGAUUUCCAAGAAUAAUUCUAAGCUAUAGCACUGUAUAUUUGAUGAUCAGUACUAAAUUCUGAAGAAGGAAGGAUGCUGAGAAAAUCUAGACUUUGAAAUAAACUGGCAUGAUACAUGUUUGUUGAUAAGUAGUGUGCUUGUCUCGUCUGUUAAAUUCUGCACGCAAUCAUGACAAUAAUAAUUCAUGUGAUAUCACUUCUGCUGUUAUUGGUGGUUGCAUGUCAUGUGACUUUUUACAUUGCUUAAUUAAUCCUGUGUGUAGAUGAUUAUUCUUGAUAGCUGAUG